rnacentral:rRNA from 1 species
GCCAGACUCCUACGGGAGGCAGCAGUGAGGAAUAUUGGUCAAUGGCCGUAAGGCUGAACCAGCCAAGUAGCGUGAGGGAAGACUGCCCUAUGGGUUGUAAACCUCUUUUAUGCGGGGAUAAAGGUGUCCACGUGUGGAUGUUUGCAGGUACCGCAUGAAUAAGGACCGGCUAAUUCCGUGCCAGCAGCCGCGGUAAUACGGAAGGUCCGGGCGUUAUCCGGAUUUAUUGGGUUUAAAGGGUGCGUAGGCGGGACGGUAAGUCAGGGGUAAAAAGGCGGAGCUCAACUCCGUCGAGCCGUUGAAACUGCCGUUCUUGAGUGAGCGAGAAGUAUGCGGAAUGCGUGGUGUAGCGGUGAAAUGCAUAGAUAUCACGCAGAACUCCGAUUGCGAAGGCAGCAUACCGGCGCUCAACUGACGCUGAAGCACGAAGGCGUGGGUAUCGAACAGGAUUAGAUACCCCGGUACA